rnacentral:lncRNA from 1 species
GUGAACUCCAUCACGUGGGUGAGCUUGCCAUGUCUACUUCUCCUUCGACCGGCUUAGGAAUAAUCCAAACCGGAGAUGAGCCUCUCAGUCUCGUAAAACCUGUGCAGGUUAUGGCAUUGGAGAUGGGACGAUACGGGAUAAGAACGAACUCGGUGUGUCCUGGGAUCUUCAAGUCGGAGAUAACGGAGCGUCUCAUGGAGAAGGAAUGGAUCGGUAAAGUGGCGAGGAGGACAGUACCUUUGGGGACGUUUGGCACGGCGAAUCCUUCCGUCAUCUCGCUCAUCCGCUAUCUGGUCGAUGAUGCGUCGGAGUACGUGAAUGGGAAUGUGUUCAUCGUUGAUGCAGGUGCCACGCUCCCGGGGGUCCCCCUCUUCUCUUCCCUGUAAAUGGUGGUUUCUUAUAUGGGGCUUGCAAUAAAAAUUGAAAUAAAAAAUAUGUAUAUAUAUAUAUAUUUUUUUAUUUUUCAUGAGCAAAUAUAUAAUCUUUUCAGGGGAAAAAAUUGAAAGAGAAAACAGAGAUAAAAAUUAGAAUAGACAAAGGGCGUUGCAAAGCCUUUCUCCAAUCAGGCUUAACCAUCAGCCCAGAGAUUUGACGUUCUUUUGGGCACAGCACUUGUUUCGCCAGUACGAAUCUAAAAGCACGACACGGAAACAUCCAGAUCACUGAUCUCUCAUCUUCCGAACUCGGCUAAGUAUUCCUGUGGAUGCGAGAUCCUGUGAUCAGCGUGCGAGCUUACUAUUCAACCCACUAAUUGGCUGACCAGGUCAGCACGAUUGAGACGUCCUGGCCUCUCUUGACGUGGCCUCUACGACACCAAUGCAGGGAUUACUUCAAGUCAACGACGACGGAGAAAGACUUCGCAAGUUUCUUGCCGUCCAACAAAUAAUUCCUUUCAGUAGGCCGAUGAUCUUACCAGCGAGCAGCAGAGAAUAGAGCUCGAGAGACCGACGAAAGAUGGCGUCGCCCCCUUCUCCCUAUCUCUUGCCUUCGCUCAUCCUCACUCGCACUUUCCUCCUCGUCUUGCUACUAACCCAGACCAUCUCCUCCGCCCAGAGCUACUCCAACAUCACGCAGGGCACCACCCUCACGGCUGGCUCAUCGACCGGCUCCUGGCUCUCUCCAUCCGGCGACUUCGCCUUCGGAUUCUACCCCACCGACGCCCAAGCCUCCCUCUUCCUCGUCGCCAUCUGGUUCGAGUCCACCUCCCCCAAAGCCGUCGUCUGGUCCGCCAACCGCGACGCUCCUGUCCGAUCAGGCUCCACCCUGCAGCUGACCAGCGACGGCCGCCUCUCCCUAAAGGACGACGGCGGAAACGAAGUGUGGAGCGCGGGCCCUGCCAACGCCUCCACCGCCGCCGUCCUCGACUCCGGCAACGUCGUCCUCACUGCUUCCGGCGGCAUCUUGUGGCAGAGCUUCGAUCUUCCUACGGACACGCUCCUGCCGGGUCAAGUCUUGGGACUGGGCUCCGACCUUCGUUCCCAGCUCACCGACUCCGACUUCUCAGAUGGCCGAUUCGAGCUCGCGGCGCAAACGAGCGGCGAACUCCAGCUCCUACCGCUGGCCAUCCCCUCUGGAAACCAAUACGAUCCAUACUGGUCCAUCGACACGACCGAUUCCGGCUUUCAGCUCGUCUACAACGAAUCCGGCAGCAUAUACUUCGCUCUCACGAAUGGUACUCUGCUCAACGUAACUAUGGCUUCUGUCUAUUCCACCGAAGACUUCUUCCAACGCACGAGGCUGGAUCCCGACGGCGUCUUCCGCCAGUACAUCUACCCCAAGAGCGGCAGGGCGACCGGAUCCUGGAGUAGGAAAUGGAAUGCGGUGGCCAAAGUGCCGGCGGACAUCUGCCAAGAUCUUCAAUCCGACGGCGCUGGUAGCGGCACCUGUGGCUUUAACAGUUACUGCAGAUCCGGCGGAGAUCAGAGCGAGGUAAACUGCUUGUGCCCACCAGGGUACUCCUUCAUCGACCCGGAGCGGAAGUACAAAGGUUGCGACCAGGACUUCCCACCCAUCUGCAAACAAUACGAUCCUGCUCAGUUCAACCUGAUCCCCAUAAACAACGCCGACUGGCCCUUCUCGGAUUACGAGCACUACACGAACGUGAACGAAGACCAGUGCAGACAGUACUGUUUGGAGGAUUGCCUCUGCGCGGUUGCCAUCUUCUGGGACAGAAAGGAAUGCUGGAAGAAGAAGCUGCCGCUGUCGAAUGGAAAGCUGGGUAGCUAUAUCGACAGGACGGCACUGAUAAAAGUGUCGAAAACUAAUUAUACUUCCCUGUUGCCGCCAUCGGGUCCAGUUAUAUCUGUGGUGAAGAAGGAAAGGAAGACUUUGAUUCAGAUUGGAGCAGUGCUUCUGGGGUGCUCUGGAUUUUUUAAUGUGAUCUUCAUCGCGUUGAUCAUUGCAAAGAUCUUUGGUUCCCCUAGGGGGAGGAGUACGACGUUUCAGCCGCAGACCAGCAUGUCCGAAUUUAAUAUCAGAGUCUUUAGUUACAAGGAGCUUGAAGAAGCAACCGAUGGAUUCAAAGAAGAACUGGGAAGAGGGGCCUUCGGUUCAGUUUAUAAAGGUGUGUUGUCAUCCUACAUUAGCACUAAUAUUGCGGUGAAGAAGUUAGAUAGGCUGCUUCGCGAGAACGAGAAGGAGUUCAUAAAUGAGGUGAGAUCUAUUGGGCAGACUCAUCACAAGAAUCUGGUCAGAUUGAUUGGAUACUGCAACGAAGGGACGCACAGACUUCUGGUGUACGAGUACAUGCGAAACGGGUCGUUGAUUGGCUUCUUGUUCGGCAAUAUAAAGCUGCAUUGGCAGCAGAGGGUCCAAAUCAUAUUUGGAAUCGCAAGAGGAUUGCUUUACUUGCACGACGAGUGCAGCACUCCGAUCAUCCACUGUGACAUCAAACCUCAGAAUGUACUCCUGGAUGACAAUUUUGUGGCUAGGAUUUCGGAUUUCGGGUUAGCGAAGCUGCUGAGGGCUGACCAGACUCGAACCAAUACCGGCAUAAGGGGAACCAGAGGGUACGUAGCACCAGAGUGGUUCAAGAGCAUGGCGAUCACGAAGAAGGUGGAUGUGUACAGCUUUGGUGUGAUGAUGCUGGAGAUCAUAUGCUGCCGGAAGAACUUGGAAACAGAGAUCGGGGAAGAGGAGGAACCGGUGCUCAUUUACUGGGCUUACGAUUGUUUCAAGGAUGGGAUGGCGGAUCUUUUGGUGCAGCAUGACAAAGACGCACUGGCCGAUAUGGAGGAGGUGGAGAGGUUUGUGAAAAUAGCGUUUUGGUGCAUCCAAGAGGAUCCGUCGCUCAGGCCUUCGAUGCAGAAGGUGACUCAGAUGCUGGAAGGAGCAGUUGAAGUUUCUCUGCCACCCGAUCCUUCCCCAUUCCUGACCACAAAUUAGUCACAGAUUUCCUGAGUGCUUGGACUUGGGUUUGCUCUUCUAAUUCUCCUGAAACCCAUGGCUGGUGCAAGAAUCGCUGCAAAGCGCAUAUUGUGGUAGCAAACCAAGUGUAUUAUGGAAACUUAUCAUAUAGCCAGCCUUCUUGUUUCUAAUAUGCCUACUGUCAGUAUACAUAGAAGUCCAGUCUGCAAGGCUCUCGCCUAUGUUGAAUUUGGGAAGCACCAAUACAUUGGUCAUAGAUAGUAUCUUGUAAUUUAAACAAGAAACCAGUGAAAUAGUUUGCUGCAUAAUUCUUCCUGAAUACACUAAUUUAUUAUUUUCUUUUUUCUUGUGGUUAAAAUAUCUAUCAAACAGGGUAGGUAAUCAAGGAUAAGGUCGUUGUGGAAUUUGGGGAGAGAAAAAGAAGCAAUGAAAAAGAGUUUCUGUAAGAGAGAGAGAGAGAGAGAACAGUUGGGAUUAAGAAAGGCAUAUCAGGUGGCGUUAAAACUUGAUUCUGAAUCUUCAGAAGUUUUUAGAUAACUAUUACCUUGUUCUUCCAUAGAGAGACUCUGCAUGCGAACAUAGAUCUACCGAACGAAUCUGAGUUUUAUAUGAUCGAUCAUAUUUCUUAUUCUUUUCUCUCUCUUUUUUUUCCUAGUUUGUGUGAUGGUUUUCCCCAUUGUAUCCAUUGCUACGACAUCUUCUACCUUAACCUUUCUAGAUCUUCACCCGCUUUAACCUUUCUCAUAAAAUCCAUGCCUACCAUUGUGCUUAAUUAAAUUUACCUAAAUUAAAAACACCCUAAUAAUGCUGCAGUUUUGCACAAAAUUACAUGUUGAAUCUAAAAAACAAAAGAAAUAUCUUUGUGAAAAUAGCAACAAAUAUUCCAAAAUGAUAAAUUCGAUAUCAUAAAUAACCCCCAACUUUUCUAGAAGCAAUUAAAGUACAUAAUAGACAAGAAAGCAUACCUUCCGCAAUGAGAUGAAUGUUCUUUAGAACUGACCGUGUACUUUUACUACAGAAAAGUCAGUUAAGAAAAGAAGCAGAUCCACUGUAAGAUAGAUAUUUCAAAUGUAAAACUGGCAGAAUAUAAAUGGAUAAAUAUACAAAGUAUCUUUUGCUGUUUAAGCAGAAAUGCAAAGACAGGAAUGCUGUAACUUUUAGCAGAGUCACAAGCCACCAUCCGAGAAGGCAGGAAAGAAAAACAUAUGAGCCCGAUUGGAGCGCAAUAGAAAAACCAUCAUUAUCUAUCACUGUUCCUCUAUCCCCUUGGAACUAUGUGCCUGGUUUCUCAUCUCAAUUCAUGAUAGAGCCCCAUGGAAACAAUUCAUGUUUAUAAACAUUAUCCAACAAGUACAAAUAUAAUCAUAGACAAUUGUAAUCUGGAAUCCUUAAAGAAAAUCUCUUUUUUUUUUUAAAAGCAGGCAGAAAAUUUAACAAGUGAAUAGUCUUCAAGCCUUCUAUUAAUGACCUAAUCAGAUGGAUGGUUCAUUACCUAAUGAUGUAAGAAGCAACCUUAGGCGACCGCAAACCUAAACAAUGAACCAAUUAUGCAUAUCGUGAUUGGUUAGCUGAGUGGCCUACCUAGUAAUCGCACUAGAAUUAUGACAUAGAAAUUUCACAUUCCAUAUAACUAUGUCCCUGAAAUUACUGAAUAAUUUAGAACAUGUUAUAUUGGAACAUCUACCGGAGGCAAAUGAAGAAGUUGAAUCUUCAAAGAUAAAUUAACUGAAGAUAACAAAUGUAAGUCCCAACCAACAAACCUAAGUCAUUGGAUAUCAUUUAAUUGCAAUAACUGAGUUCACAAUUUGCUGAAUGAACAUAUUGGAACAGGUGGUCUAAGUACAAAACAUUUCUCUUGUGAAGAGCAUGAUCUGGUGUAGAACAAGAGUGACGAUGAGGCGUAUUUAGUUCUAAUAGAAUCCUACAAUCAAGGAGUUUAUAGGAUUUCCAAUCAUCUUUAACAAGCUAUUAAUGAGGGGAUUCUAGCAAAUUUAUCAUGUGGCAGAAUCAUCGGCCUUUAAAGGAUUAAGGUCAAAAUGAUUGAUGCUACAACUCUUUCAAGGGUGGGUUAAGAUCAUCUCUCAAUUAGAGCAGAUAGCUAGAUUCCAAAGGAAUGCCAAAUUGUGGCACAUAUACUUGAUAGCAGCGAAUGUUUUAGAACCGCAUAAGAAAAUAUACUCUCCAAUCAAAUGUUUCUUCUCAGUGCCAGAAAUCCAUAGCCUCGGUCAGCAAGCAUGAUUUCCCAACAGAAAGCUGCAGAUGAAAUAGAAAGCAGUGAAAGAGAACUAGAUCAUAGAUCAACGUAGGAACCGCAAACAUGACAGCGUGCCAAUCCAAUAAGGGGGAAAGGAACAGAGAACCAAUAGAACAAACAGAGGGGUUACGGAACAAGCUCACCUCAGAUUCAGAAGCCAUCGCUCUCAAACUCACACAUCCCCGGAGCUCGUCCAGUGCCGAUCCAUGGCCGAGAAACGGCGGUCCAGGCUACCUGUCGGAGACGAGGGACAUCGGCGCGUUGCAUUAGGAUACUUGACGGAGGAUUUCGAAGCAUUAGGGUUCAUUUAGAGAUCGGAUUUAGCGGAAGAAGAGGACCGAGAGAUGAACGAUAUGGAGAUAUCUCGAGAACUCGGAAGGCGGGCACUUACCGGUUUUAAGUUUCUUUUAAGGUUAAUUUAGGACUGAUAAUAAAUUACGUUUGUAUUUAGCUACCUUCGUCAUCUCACUUUUUAUACUUUAAAAUUUUAUAUUAAAUUCUUAUAAUUAUAAAAAUAAAAUAUUUAAAUCUAUUUAUCUUAACAUCAUCAAUUUUAUCAAAUAAAAUAUGAAAACAAAUGGUAAAAGGAUG